rnacentral:rRNA from 1 species
CAAGUCCGGCGGGAAAUCCAACGGCUCAACCGUUGGGCGUCCGGCGGAAACUGCGUGGCUUGGGACCAGGAAAGCUCGACGGGUACGUCCGGGGUACGAGUAGAAAUCCCGUAAUCCUGGACGGACCACCGAUGGCGAAAGCACCUCGAGAAGCACGGAUCCGACAGUGAGGGACAAAAGCUGGGGUCUCGAACCGGAUUAAAUACCCGGGUAGUCCCAGCCGUAAACGAUGCCAGUUAGGUGUGGCAGAGGCUACGAGCCUCCGCUGUGCCGUAGGGAAGCCGAGAAACUGGCCGCCUGGGAAGUACGUCCGCAAGGAUGAAACUUAAAGGAAUUGGCGGGGGGGCACUACAACCGGAGGAGCCUGCGGUUUAAUUGGACUCAACGCCGGACAUCUCACCAGCUCCGACUACAGUGAUGACGGUCAGGUUGAUGACCUUACCAAGACGCUGUAGAGAGGAGGUGCAUGGCCGCCGUCAGCUCGUACCGUGAGGCGUCCUGUUAAGUCAGGCAACGAGCGAGACCCGCACGCUUAUUGCCAGCAUCAGGUUUCCUGGAUGGGUACAUUAAGCGGACUGCCGGUGCUGAAAGCGGAGGAAGGAACGGGCAACGGUAGGUCAGUAUGCCCCGAAUGAGACUGGGCGUACACGACGGGCUACAAUGGCCAGGACAGUGGGUUCCAACCUCGAGAGAGGACGGUAAUCUCCGAAACCUGGUCGUAGUUCGGAUUGCGGGUUG